UACGGGAGGCAGCAGUGGGGAAUAUUGCACAAUGGGCGGAAGCCUGAUGCAGCAACGCCGCGUGCGGGAUGACGGCCUUCGGGUUGUAAACCGCUUUCGCCUGUGACGAAGCGUGAGUGACGGUAAUGGGUAAAGAAGCACCGGCUAACUACGUGCCAGCAGCCGCGGUGAUACGUAGGGUGCGAGCGUUGUCCGGAUUUAUUGGGCGUAAAGGGCUCGUAGGUGGUUGAUCGCGUCGGAAGUGUAAUCUUGGGUCUUAACCCUGAGCGUGCUUUCGAUACGGGUUGACUUGAGGAAGGUAGGGGAGAAUGGAAUUCCUGGUGGAGCGGUGGAAUGCGCAGAUAUCAGGAGGAACACCAGUGGCGAAGGCGGUUCUCUGGGCCUUUCCUGACGCUGAGGAGCGAAAGCGUGGGGAGCGAACAGGAUUAGAUACCCUGGUAGUCCACGCUGUAAACGAUGCAUACUAGGUGUUGGUCUUUCGGGGCCAGUGCUGCAGUUAACGCAUUAAGUAUGCCACCUGGGGAGUACGUCGGCAACGAUGAAACUCAAAGGAAUUGACGGGGGCCCGCACAAGCGGCGGAGCAUGCGGAUUAAUUCGAUGCAACGCGUAGAACCUUACCUGGGUUUGACAUGGAUCGGGAGUGCUCAGAGAUGGGUGUGCCUCUUUUGGGGUCGGUUCACAGGUGGUGCAUGGCUGUCGUCAGCUCGUGUCGU
rnacentral:rRNA from 1 species